rnacentral:rRNA from 1 species
GACGAACGCUGGCGGCGUGCCUAAUACAUGCAAGUAGAACGCAGAAGGAGGAGCUUGGUUCUCUGGAUGAGUGGCGAACGGGUGAGUAACGCGUGGGUAACCUGCCCGGUAGCGGGGGAUAACUAUUGGAAACGAUAGCUAAUACCGCAUAAGAGUUGAUGUUGCAUGACAUUGGCUUAAAAGGUGCAGUUGCAUCACUACCAGAUGGAGCUUCGUUGUAUUAGCUUGUUGGUGGGGUAAAGGCUGACCAAGGCGGCGAAACCGAGUCGGAGGGAGAGGGGGGUUCGCCGCCCUGGGACUGGGAACGGGCACAGACGCCUACGGGGAGGAGCCAUAGGGAAACUUCGGCCAGCGGCGGAAGUCUGACCGAGCAACGCCGGGGGAGUGUAGAAGGUUGUCGGGUCCUAAAGCUCUGUUGUAAGGGAAGAAACAGUGUGAGAGUGGAAAGUUCACACUGUGACGGUAUCUUAUCAGAAAGCGACGGCUAACUACGUG